UAGUGGCGGACGGGUGAGUAACGCGUGAGCAACCUGACUCUUACAGGGGGAUAACACUCGGAAACGAGUGCUAAUACCGCAUAAGACCACGACAUGGCAUCAUGACGAGGUCAAAGGAGCAAUCCGCUGAGAGAGGGGCUCGCGUCCCAUUAGAUAGAUGGCGGGGGAACGGCCCACCAUGUCAACGAUGGGUAGCCGAGCUGAGAGGCUGUUCGGCCACACUGGAACUGAGACACGGUCCAGACUCCUACGGGAGGCAGCAGUGGGGAAUAUUGGGCAAUGGGCGCAAGCCUGACCCAGCAACGCCGCGUGAGGGAAGAAGGCUUUCGGGUUGUAAACCUCUGUCCUUGGUGACGAAACAAAUGACGGUAGCCAAGGAGGAAGCCCCGGCUAACUACGUGCCAGCAGCCGCGGUAAUACGUAGGGGGCGAGCGUUGUCCGGAAUUACUGGGCGUAAAGGGUGCGUAGGCGGUUUAUUAAGUUGGAUGUGAAAUACCCGGGCUUAACUUGGGAGGUGCAUCCAAAACUGGUAGACUAGAGUACAGGAGAGGGAAGCGGAAUUCCUAGUGUAGCGGUGAAAUGCGUAGAUAUUAGGAGGAACACCAGUGGCGAAGGCGGCUUUCUGGACUGACACUGACGCUGAGGCACGAAAGCGUGGGGAGCAAACAGGAUUAGAUACCCUGGUAGUCCACGCUGUAAACGAUGAAUACUAGGUGUAGGGGGUAUCAACUCCCCCUGUGCCGGAGCUAACGCAAUAAGUAUUCCGCCUGGGGAGUACGGCCGCAAGGUUGAAACUCAAAGGAAUUGACGGGGGCCCGCACAAGCGGUGGAGUAUGUGGUUUAAUUCGAAGCAACGCGAAGAACCUUACCAAGUCUUGACAUACCGCGCAAGGCCCUGGAGACAGGAGGUCCCUUCGGGGGAGCAGAGACAGGUGGUGCAUGGUUGUCGUCAGCUCGUGUCGUGAGAUGUUGGGUUAAGUCCCGCAACGAGCGCAACCCUUGUCCUUAGUUGCCAUCAUUUAGUUGGGCACUCUAAGGAGACUGCCGGUGUUAAACCGGAGGAAGGUGGGGAUGACGUCAAGUCCUCAUGGCCCUUAUGUCCAGGGCUACACACGUGCUACAAUGGCCGGUACAAAGGGUAGCAAAGCCGCGAGGUGGAGCAAAUCUUCAAAACCAGUCCCAGUUCGGAUUGUAGGCUGAAACUCGCCUGCAUGAAGUCGGAGUUGCUAGUAAUCGUGAAUCAGCAUGCCGU
rnacentral:rRNA from 1 species